rnacentral:lncRNA from 1 species
UGUUUCCUUUCUUGAAGUGCCCUUAUCAGAUGUUCAGAGAAUUCCAACUUCUUACAAGAACAGAUAUUUAUAAGAAAACAAGGCACAUUUUGGAAUCCUAUUCAGAAAAUAUACUGACUUCUUUUUCAGUGGUGGACAAUCCAAUCAAUAUUGUAUUGCAAGAAAAAAUGAAACAUUACACAGAUGAAGACAUGUUGAAAUGUGCAAGUGUCCACACCUGUGUUGGAAGUUAAAAACCCUUUCAACAUGGAGGUCUGCGAAUUUUCUUUAUAUUUAGAAAGGGAGAGGCUCACAAAGGUGGACGACUGUGUUACAGCCUUGG